rnacentral:rRNA from 1 species
UGGGGAAUCUUGCGCAAUGGGCGAAAGCCUGACGCAGCCAUGCCGCGUGGAUGAUGAAGGUCUUAGGAUUGUAAAAUCCUUUCACCGGUGAAGAUAAUGACUGUAGCCGGAGAAGAAGCCCCGGCUAACUUCGUGCCAGCAGCCGCGGUAAUACGAAGGGGGCUAGCGUUGCUCGGAAUUACUGGGCGUAAAGGGAGCGUAGGCGGACAUUUAAGUCAGGGGUGAAAUCCCGAGGCUCAACCUCGGAACUGCCUUUGAUACUGGGUGUCUUGAGUGUGAGAGAGGUAUGUGAACUCCGAGUGUAGAGGUGAAAUUCGUAGAUAUUCGGAAGAACACCAGUGGCGAAGGCGACAUACUGGCUCAUUACUGACGCUGAGGCUCGAAAGCGUGGGGAGCAAACAGGAUUAGAUACCCUGGUAGUCCACGCCGUAAAGCGAUGAUUGCUAGUUGUCGGGAAGCUUGCUUUUCGGUGACGCAGCUAA